GAAAGUGUAGCUCAGUGGUAGAGUGCGUGCUUAGCAUACACAAGGUCAUGGGUUCAAUCCCCACGUACCUCCA
rnacentral:tRNA from 1 species